CAGCUAUAUCCUCCAGGCCGCAGGAGACAGAGAUGGCUGCAGACAUUUUUACAAGGGUUGGGCACUGGAAAACAGAGAGCAGUAGUUAGGUUCUGAGGAGGGAAUGAAUACGCGCACCAAAGAUUUGUCCACCAACUAACUGAGCUGCGACACUGUCAGAACAUAUGAUACCACUGCUCAGGCAGGAAAAUCAUUGGAUCAAUGGAUCAUCGCAAUUCUGGAUAAGAAGAUAAAAUUCUCCUCUCCUAGAUGAUUCCAGUUGUGGAUCACAAGCAAUCUAGCACAAUAAAAACAGGCGUGUCCAGCCGCUGUCCGACAUGGAUCACCACCAGUGCACAUGAGCCAGUCCUCUAUCAGAGCAACCCAACAGGAAAUCGAGUCACUUCAAUAUCUGCUGCUGGGCAAUUUCAAAUUUUAAUUAACUGAAGAGAGUUUAUUAAAACAAAGAUAACCUGGCAUUGAAGGAUGGUGUAGACCAAGAAUUGCACCACUUCAAAUAUAUAGAAAAGAUCACACAGACCUGCUUCAAGCUUGUCAUCCCAAAGGACCUCUAUGGAAGGUUAUAAUAGAGGAGUGAGAGAUGGAGGGGACUGAAUCAGCUGGAAUCAGUAAUGACGACAGCUUUCACAUCUGACAUUAUUAUGUGACACGCACUCCCAGGUCCAAGGAUAAGAAGAAAGAGCCUUUCAAAACAAUUAACUCCGUCAGGCUGUCCUGCUCUUAUUCCUCUUCUAAGAAGAUGCUGACAUGAGUCUCUAGCAGCCUGAGGCACAGUGGGACCUAAUUAACUUCUUCAGAGAUCCUCAAGUCUUCUUGGAUUACCAGACAAGUUUGUUAAAAGGGCCUCGAACCUUGAUCUCAUGGAGCGGUGGCUGCAAGCCUUCAUUAUUUUCCUUCUGCUCAUGACUCAUGUAGAGACAAGCUUUUGUUUGAAUCUUCUGGAGAGUAACAUAUUGUCCACUUUUUGAAUUUUUAACCAAGGUGGACAGAAGACAAAAGUUCAGAGUAAUAAAUAACUCUUGUUUU